rnacentral:pre_miRNA from 1 species
CACAGCUUACAUCGUUACCAGACAGUGUUAGAGUAUUGUUGCACAGUCCAGCACUGCCAGGUAAGAUGUAUGCUAUG